ACUCUUCAAUUGCCUUUAAUUACACACGGAAAAACUGGUUUGGUUUCCUGGUUUCUUGGAUCUGGGGAUCCCACUGGGAAGAGUGGCCUGGAGAGGUGCCAGGGGAGCCGUAACUGCGCUGCCUGGCCGGGAUAUCGAGGGGAAGUGCUGCAGGGAUUUCUCACUUUCCCAAGAUUUUGGUCACUGGAUCUCGUGUUCUUCCCCUCCUCUGCAGACCCUCCCGUUCAUCCCUCUGCUCUCCGGAGAUUUCCAGGAUGCCCUGACCGCAGCAUGGACCGGGGGRUAAAACCUCUGGAAUUUGCCAGGCAGAAGGGAAGCUGAGAUCCCACAGCAGCCGGCAUCACCUGCUGACAGAGGUGCGAUUGAAGCCCCAGGGAAAAUGGGGAUUUUUGGGGUGUCCCGAGGGGAUUUUGGGAACCAGGCUUAGAACAAAGCAGAAAAAAAGGGGAAAA